AUUGAACGCUGGCGGCAGGCCUAACACAUGCAAGUCGAGCGAGCGGCGGACGGGUGAGUAAUGUAUGGGGACUGCCCGAUCGAGGGGGAUAACUACUGGAAACGAUGUCUAAUACCGCAUACUAUCGGAUAACCCAUAUGGGAUUAGCAAGUAGGUGGGGUAAAGUGUCACCUAGGCGACGAUCUCUACCUGGUCUGAGAGGAGGAUGGACCACGUGUGUACUAAGACACGUACCAGACUCCUACGGAGGGAGCAGUGGGGAAUAUUGCACAAUGGUCGCAAGCCUGAUGCAGCCAUGCGGCGUGUAUCAAGAAGGCCGUAGGGUUGUAAAGUACUUUCAGCGGGGAGGCGUUACCCGCAGAAGAAGCACCGGCUAACGCCGUGCCAGCAGCCGCGGUAAUAG
rnacentral:rRNA from 1 species